UUAGAAGGGAAGAAUGACAGGCGGAGCUUGAUGUCAUAACUGUUGCGUUGUGCGCUGUUUUGCGCUUUUCGUUUCUCUCUGUAUGAGGGCGUUUUCUUGCCGAAACAAUUUUUCGUGUUUCAAGAGUUGGAGCCACUGGCUGCCAGGAAACAUUGGAACCCAAUGGAAAUAUUUCAAACGGACCUUAUAAGAGAUGCGGUGCUUUUUUAGAUGGAAUACAAGCACUGUCAUACUGUGCAGUCUGCGAAAGUUUAAAUGAAGAAAAUAUCAGCUGCAUGCUAUUUGGUCAUAUGCGAGUGUCAGAACUACUUAUAAGGGGAGUUUAAAGCGCCUUUCUAUUUUCUGGUCUCAUGUUUUCUCUGAAUUUGUCAGGAGAUCUGAAGAUU